ACCUGCUGAAACUUAAGCAUAUCAAUAAGCGGAGGAAAAGAAACCAACAGGGAUUGCCCUAGUAACGGCGAGUGAAGCGGCAACAGCUCAAAUUUGAAAUCUGGCUCUUUUAGAGUCCGAGUUGUAAUUUGCAGAGGGCGCUUUGGCUUUGGCAGCGGUCCAAGUUCCUUGGAACAGGACGUCACAGAGGGUGAGAAUCCCGUACGUGGUCGCUGGCUAUUGCCGUGUAAAGCCCCUUCGACGAGUCGAGUUGUUUGGGAAUGCAGCUCUAAAUGGGAGGUACAUUUCUUCUAAAGCUAAAUAUUGGCCAGAGACCGAUAGCGCACAAGUAGAGUGAUCGAAAGAUGAAAAGCACUUUGGAAAGAGAGUCAAACAGCACGUGAAAUUGUUGAAAGGGAAGCGCUUGCAGCCAGACUUGCUUACAGUUGCUCAUCCGGGUUUUUACCCGGUGCACUCUUCUGUAGGCAGGCCAGCAUCAGUUUGGGCGGUAGGAUAAAGGUCUCUGUCACGUACCUCCUUUCGGGGAGGCCUUAUAGGGGAGACGACAUACUACCAGCCUGGACUGAGGUCCGCGCAUCUGCUAGGAUGCUGGCGUAAUGGCUGUAAGCGGCCCGUCUUGAAACACGGACCAAGGAGUCUAACAUCUAUGCGAGUGUUUGGGUGUCAAGCCCGAGCGCGUAAUGAAAGUGAACGGAGGUGGGAACCCGCAAGGGUGCACCAUCGACCGAUCCUGAUGUCUUCGGAAGGAUUUGAGUAAGAGCAUGGCUGUUGGGACCCGAAAGAUGGUGAACUAUGCUUGAAUAGGGUGAAGCCAGAGGAAACUCUGGUGGAGGCUCGGAGCGGUUCUGACGUGCAAAUCGAUCGUCAAAUUUGGGCAUAGGGGCGAAAGACUAAUCGA
rnacentral:rRNA from 1 species